UACGGAGGAUCCAAGCGUUAUCCGGAUUUAUUGGGUUUAAAGGGUCCGUAGGCGGGAUACUAAGUCAGUGGUGAAAGGCUGUCGCUUAACGAUAGCACUGCCAUUGAUACUGGUAUUCUUGAGUAUAGUUGAGGUGGGCGGAAUAAGUCAUGUAGCGGUGAAAUGCAUAGAUAUGACUUAGAACACCGAUUGCGAAGGCAGCUCACUAAGCUAAUACUGACGCUGAGGUACGAAAGCAUGGGGAGCAAACAGG
rnacentral:misc_RNA from 1 species